UCUUCGAAGGCAUUAUUUUCU
rnacentral:piRNA from 1 species